AUACGGAGGGUGCGAGCGUUAAUCGGAAUUACUGGGCGUAAAGCGUACGUAGGUGGUUUGUUAAGUCAGAUGUGAAAGCCCUGGGCUCAACCUGGGAAUGGCAUUUGAAACUGACGAGCUAGAAUAUGGUAGAGGGAAGUGGAAUUCCGGGUGUAGCGGUGAAAUGCGUAGAUAUCAGGAGGAACACCAGUGGCGAAGGCGGCUUCCUGGACCAAUAUUGACGCUGAGGUACGAAAGCGUGGGUAGCAAACAGGAUUAGAAACCCUAGUAGUCC
rnacentral:rRNA from 1 species